rnacentral:tmRNA from 1 species
GGGGCCGACUGGUUUUGACAGCGGGUCUAAUUGUAUUGUAAGCAUGUCGAGCGCUGGGAUAUAGCUCGUUAAUAUCAUAUUUCACACUUUUUAAACGGCGAGAAUAACUACGCCCUAGCUGCAUAAUCCGAAUCAUAGUAGGAUGUGCCUCGGCCCACAAGGUGGGCAAGCAGGAAGUCACUCAACGGCCUUGGUUUACGGCGGUUGACAUAGUGGCUUCGUAAAAGUAAACCUAGCAAGAGUAGUGCUUUGAUGCUCUUGUGAAGCUCAAGUAAAGCUAAGGGGUGCGUUGGUAGUUUUCGACCGGCAAGCCCACGAAAAUCUAAAUGAAAACUAAGCAUGUAGAAAGCAAUAUAGUUGCUUGUUUGGACGAGGGUUCGAAUCCCUCCGGCUCCACCA